rnacentral:rRNA from 1 species
CAUGGUAGAUAUAUCAAAGAUUUAUCGCUUAGAGAUGGACUCGCGUCCGAUUAGUUAGUUGGUGAGGUAACGGCUCACCAAGACCGCGAUCGGUAGCCGGACUGAGAGGUUGAACGGCCACAUUGGGACUGAGACACGGCCCAGACUCCUACGGGAGGCAGCAGUGGGGGAUAUUGCGCAAUGGGGGAAACCCUGACGCAGCAACGCCGCGUGAAGGAUGAAGGUCUUCGGAUUGUAAACUUCUUUUAUUAAGGACGAAGAAAGUGACGGUACUUAAUGAAUAAGCUCCGGCUAACUACGUGCCAGCAGCCGCGGUAAUACGUAGGGAGCAAGCGUUGUCCGGAUUUACUGGGUGUAAAGGGUGCGUAGGUGGCUUUGCAAGUCAGAUGUGAAAUCUAUGGGCUCAACCCAUAGCCUGCAUUUGAAACUGCAGAGCUUGAGUGAAGUAGAGGCAGGCGGAAUUCCCCGUGUAGCGGUGAAAUGCGUAGAGAUGGGGAGGAACACCAGUGGCGAAGGCGGCCUGCUGGGCUUUAACUGACGCUGAGGCACGAAAGCGUGGGUAGCAAACAGGAUUAGAUACCCUGGUAGUCCACGCUGUAAACGAUGAAUACGAGGUGUGGGGGGUCUGACCCCUUCCGUGCCGGAG